rnacentral:rRNA from 1 species
GGGUGAGUAAUGAAUCGCUAACGUACCCCGGACUCCGGGAUAGCCGGCCGAAAGGCCGGGUAAUACCGGGUGACAUCACCGCGCGGCAUCGCGUGGUGCUCAAAGGUCCGCCGGUCUGGGAGCGGGCGAUUUCGUAUCAGCUAGUUGGUGGGGUAACGGCCCACCAAGGCGACGACGCGUAGCUGGUCUGAGAGGACGGUCAGCCACAUUGGGACUGAGACACUGCCCAGACUCCUACGGGGGGCUGCAGUAACGAAUCUUCCGCAAUGCACGAAAGUGUGACGGAGCGACGCCGCGUGUGGGACGAAGUCCUUCGGGAUGCAAACCACUGUCAGGGGCAGCCAAGUUCUGAGGCGCCCCAGAGGAAGGCACGGCUAACUCUGUGCCAGCAGCCGCGGUAAGACAGAGGUGCCGAGCGUUAGGCGGAAUCACUGGGCUUAAAGCGUGUGUAGGCGGACCGUUAAGUACCCGCGUGAAAUCCUGCGGCUCACCCGCAGAACUGCCGGGUAUACUGGCGGUCUUGGGCGACCUAGGGGCGAGCGGACARGUGGUGGAGCGGUGAAAUGCGUARAUAUCACUUGGAACGCCGA